rnacentral:misc_RNA from 1 species
GGAAGUUUGAAACAAUACUAACAUAGAUCUUACAUUAAGCAUGGAUCCCAAACCUCAGUCAACAAAAAAAAAAGUCUGUUUUACUUUGAAUCCUAUAAUUUAUUUGACAAUGUAACAAUCUCCUCAAACUUUAAUUCAUAUCUUGAUCUAACAGGCCAGGACCAUAACAUUCAUUAACCGCUUCAAGAACAAAGUAAUUGGUUCUAUUAUUCCAUUCAAAGGAACCACAGAGUUUUUAGUCAUUCACAUGCAAAUACUAAUAACAUCUGGAAUACACUUCAAGCAAUCAACAACUUGCUAGGUGGUCCAUAAUAUUAAAG